rnacentral:rRNA from 1 species
GAUGAACGCUGGCGGCGUGCUUAACACAUGCAAGUCGAACGAGAAAUGGAGACGGAAACCUUCGGGCGGAAGGCUUCAUUUCGAGUGGCGGCCGGGUGAGUAACGCGUGGGUAACCUGCCUCAUACAGGGGGAUAACAGUUGGAAACGACUGUUAAUACCGCAUAAGACGACAGCACCGCAUGGUGCGGGGGUAAAAACUCCGGUGGGAUGAGAUGGACCCGCGUUCGAUUAGCCAGUUGGCGGGGUAACGGCACACCAAAGCGACGAUCGAUAGCCGAGCUGAGAGGAAGGCCGGACACAUUGGGACUGAGACACGGCACAAACUCCUACGGGAGGCAGCAGUGGGGAAUAUUGCACAGUGGGGGAAAUCCUGAUGCAGCGACGCCGCGUGAGUGAAGAAGUACUUCGGUAUGUAAAGCGCUAUCAGCAGGGAAGAAAAUGACGGUACCUGAGUAAGAAGCCCCGGCUAACUACGUG